UCGUUCCACCGCCCCUAGGGGGGCGAUAUCGCCAACUUUAGUUCGACUCGCACCUUAAGCUGAGAGUAUAGAACCGACUUAAGGAUAAGACAAGGAAGGUCGCCAAGCUCCGGGACGCGGCGGUAGCGCAGAAGUCAAGCGCGCUCACGGUGAGAGGGCGGCAGGCCGGACCAAGUGUGCUGUGGCAGUGGCUUGCGCUGGUGGACCUAGUAUGGGCAGCUCUAGUUUUACUCACGAUCAGACUACAAGGCGCUGGAUAUCUUCCAGAAUUCAAGGAUUACUUCAUCGAAGAAAUUCUUUUAAACGCUGAAUAAAUUCAACGGGAAAUAACGCCGGGAUUCAACAGCACAUCUAUUAUUUUCAUCAAGAAACUCAAUUUUUUGCAAACACAACGACUAGUGUUUGAUCCAGCUAAGAAAUGACACCAAAGACUCCCGAAAGCGAAGUGUCUCCCGCUCAGUAGUUCUACCAAUAAACCGGCAGAAAUUGCGGAUUUCGCCCGUUACCACAAAUAAUUAAAUCAUAAAAAGAAGUUUUUCACCCUUGCCAGGUGUUUACGUCAACAUGCUACCUGUGCAGGAGCGAGAGAGUCAGAGAAUGAGCAACACAGCCAGAGCCAGAGAGCAACGUAGGAGAGAAGCAAAGGACUUUAAAAAACACAAGAACGAAUUCGAAGCGGAACAAAAGCGCAACGAUGUCCUGAGAGCCGAGCUAAAGCGACUUGAGACGUCCAUCGCUGCCUUGGGAGCUACAUUUAUGAUGAUUAAAUCGUCAGAUGACUCUAAUAUUAUUGACUCUAUUGAGUUAUCAAUAUAAUAUGAUUUAUUC